UACGGAGGGAGCUAGCGUUGUUCGGAAUUACUGGGCGUAAAGCGCACGUAGGCGGCUUUUUAAGUCAGGGGUGAAAUCCCGGGGCUCAACCCCGGAACUGCCCUUGAAACUGGAGAGCUAGAAUCUUGGAGAGGCGAGUGGAAUUCCGAGUGUAGAGGUGAAAUUCGUAGAUAUUCGGAAGAACACCAGUGGCGAAGGCGACUCGCUGGGCCGUACCUGACACUGAUGCGCGACAGCAUGGGGAGCAAACAGG
rnacentral:rRNA from 1 species